rnacentral:rRNA from 1 species
CCUACGGGCGGCAGCAGUGAGGAAUAUUGGUCAAUGGGCGUAAGCCUGAACCAGCCAAGUCGCGUGAGGGAUGAAGGUUCUAUGGAUCGUAAACCUCUUUUAUCAGGGAAUAAAGUGUGGGACGCGUCCUGUUUUGUAUGUACCUUAUGAAUAAGGAUCGGCUAACUCCGUGCCAGCAGCCGCGGUAAUACGGAGGAUCCGAGCGUUAUCCGGUUUUAUUGGGUUUAAGGGGUCCGGAGGCGGCCUUUUAAGUCAGCGGUGAAAGUAUGUGGCUCAACCAUAGAAUUGCCGUUGAAACUGGGUUGCUUGAGUAUGUUUGAGGCAGGCGGAAUGCGUGGUGUAGCGGUGAAAUGCUUAGAUAUCACGCAGAACCCCGAUUGCGAAGGCAGCAUGCCAAGGCAUAACUGACGCUGAUGCACGAAAGCGUGGGGAUCAAACAGGAUUAGAUACCCUUGUAGUC